rnacentral:lncRNA from 11 species
GAUUACAUCUGUGAGCGGAAUUGAACCGAACAAAUAGCCUAUAUAUGCCCUUUGACUUGUUGCUUGUUUAUAUGGCCAGAAUUACCAGCUCGGUCGUGGUGACACGAACGAUAGUGUUAUCUACUGUUCAGCGACUCGGUGGCAAAUAAGGUUUCCAACAUGAUUUUUCUCUCGCCCUGUCCUAUUCUUAAUUCUCUCAUCCAAGCCCAGUUUCAUUUAUUUGCUACGUUUCGAUUCAUCUCCUCUACAGUAUUAGUAAUCAUGACUCUGAGGUGUAGUGAAUUUUCUCUGAAUGAUGGUCGCAGUCAACCGUUCCUGAUACAGGCAGUAGGUCGUGGUCAGACUGCUGCAGAUUUUUAUGCUCAAUACCAAGCUCAUUCAAUUGCCACAACAACAACAACAUUAGCAAUCGCAGCAGCGCUAGAGAUGUUGUGCAUAUGGCAGCCGCCUGUCGACGAGGUCGCUUACUCGUCAGGCAAUCGACAGUCAUUGGCAGCGGAUGCGCGAUAGAGAACCGGUGCUCUCUGUUUUAUAGUCUACUGCCAUGGUUCCCCCCGUCUACUACUCGGCUGUCUGCCAGGAUACUAAUCCAAUAGUUAAUGCAGCAACUAGGCGAACGACGAGUGAUUCAGUAGUCGCCAUCAUCGCCGCCAUUUGCUCACCGCAUAUAAUAAUUUGUUUGUGAUCGUGGGGUUGUUGAUGCUGCCGCCGCCAUCGAUGCCCGUAUUCUGAACAACAGGCGACCGGACGCGUCAUGCGCGACGCGCUGGCGGAGUCGGACGCUAAUAGCACCGUUUUUUUGAUGCUGCUGCUGUCUGCUAGAAAAAACGAAUUUACAUUCGUGGCUGAGAUUCUAAAGAAGGGGUGAUUAAAAGGGUAAAUAAAACUAAAGAAAAUUCGAAUUUCAAAUAUCCAAAAAUAGCGGACGGUGUAACCAUGUUGGCGUGUGUGCGUGAGCGUGUGGGCGCGGACACAGUUCAGCAAAAGCGAAGCACAGAAUUAAUUGGAUUUCCAGAAAAAACGAAGCGGACGGAACUGAUGGAUGAUGAAAGGCAAAUAGAUUAAGGCACGAGCUGAGAUCAGGAGGCACUCUUUGGACAUUUGAGGCUUUCUGCUUACCUACAGAUGGAUGGCUAACAUACGACACCCUAAAGAUUUUUCUUACAAAUGGUUCCUGAGGCGUAGAGGGAUCGGUUUUGAAAGGUCACACCAAAACGCACAGCACUUGGCGAAGCACCACGGAUCAGCACUUUUCUUUGCUACUGCACACGAACCUCACUCACGGCAAUAGCAUAGACAAGCUACUACAUAGGGAAGGGCCGAUCAUUGGGCCGGGAGCGAGUCACAACGGGCGCUCCCCAGGAGCGAACUGCUGUGCGCGGCUCGUCAGCUGGGGAAAGGGUCGCCAAAACUGAGAGAGUACAGCCCACACGAUAUGGAUGACCGCGAUGAUCUUUGCUGAAGAGGCGGACAAAUCAUGACCGUCAACAGGGCAACAACUCAUGUUUAAUGGCCUUCGCAUUUUUACCGCAACAACACACCACUGAGGAGACCCGAUUCAGCUGUAAGUCCGUCGACAACGAUUUUUCUACUGGCGUUUAUGGGGCAAAGGAAGAUGAAGCUAACUAAAAAUUGCUGCUGCUGCUGCUGCUGCUGCUACUUCUACCGCAGUACCUGCAACAAGGGGUUUUUACUUCUUGGCCUAUCGAGCGCGUCGUAUGACUGCCAACGAUUGCUGUGUCAAGUUUCACCGAUUUCAUAUGCACCACUGUAAAUACAGAGCUUCCUUCGCGAGUUGGAAAUCUGUUUACCUACUUUUGUGACCGCGCCCAAAAAUAACAAUGCUACAAGGGCACGCUGGCUGGAACCGUUUUACAAGAGACAGUUGGUAUCCUUAAGAUAUUAUUUACCCUGUAUUGGCCCAACAGAAGAUGAAGACGUAAUACUCCGAUACCAGUGACGUUAAAGGGAAAACAUUUCGGAAUCAUCCAUCUAAAACCGUACGAACAUCACAACGUUGCGUUUUAGUUAAUUAGUUGCUUUUAUAACCGCAACCAUUACCAAAUCUUAGCUCGAUUAGUUAAGUAAACCCGCCUUCCUCUAUUUAAUUCGCAUAUACAUUAAAAAUGUUUGACCUGUGUGAUGGUGCAGAUAAGGAAGCAUCAAA